UCAAAAUAAUCCUCAUCUGAGUGGAAGAGAAUUCCUUCUGCUUUUCCUCAGGGUGACUCUUGUCCUCUCCAUUCUUCAGUGUGAUGUGUGCCAAGGAAGAAUAAACAAAGGAACUUACUACAUAUGCUUUCCCAUCUUACCAUGUCCAGAAAUCACUUUCAGAGCAACACUGUGUAGUCACAAAGCUGUACCCUGCUAGAAGAUUAUUGUGACAUUAUUAUUAGAAAUUGCUGCAGCAACAACUUGCCAAAUGAACCGUUAAAAGCAAACGAGACUCACUGAACCACAAUAAAAUUCAUUAAAGGCUGCUUGGGGCAACAUACGGUCUUUGAAGGUCUUUAUCUUUUUAACCAUUCGUCUCUUCCAGUAUCUGUGGCAAAGCCCUCCACCUCCCUUUUUAUCUCACUGGAAAGUAAAUAGCCAUUUCAAAAACUGCAACUUCCUUUUAGUGACAGGCUCAUUUGGUGGUGUGUCACUGCUAAAUCAGACUAUCUACUGACUUGCAGAAACCCUCAAGGUGGGCGGGGGGAGAGGGGGGGAAACACCUUUCACUAUUAAAGAAAAGGGAAUGCCGCUUGAGUCUUUUUGGCUGUUGCUUUCCCCCACGAGCUCUGAGUGACCUCUUUUGCAGUUGUUUGUCUUGAGGCUGACGUUUCGGAGAUGCUAAGCCAUUUUUUUUCUUCAGAUGACAAAAAAGAAAAGUCCAAAACUGAUUCCUGUGAACGGAAGAGCCACAAUUACAGCCCACUGUGUGGAAUGUGAGCAGCAGCUUGCCUGUGCCUUGGAGCAUGUGCCAACACUGCCGUCUAGCUUCUGCAAAGAGACGUUUAAAGUGGUCGCAGCGCAGGAGGAGUGAUGGCAGAUGGCUGCAGCAAGCAGCAGAGGAGACCUGGAGUGGCAACGCAGCAAGAAAACUCCUGGCCUGUGUUUGCAGAUAGAGAACUGAAACCUGUCUGUCCAAACCCUUAACAGGAUUUUUGGCAGCGCCGCAACUCAGGCAAACCGGUCCAGGGUCUGUUCAGUGUUCCUCAUCACAAAGUGCUGGUGAUGUCCUUGGAUGGGGUCCUCUGAUGUGUCACUCUCCUUUGGGCUCAGUGUUGUCUUCUGCUUUCCUGUGUCUCUCUCUUACCCUUUCCCUUUUCUCUCUCUUACCCUUACCCUUUUCUCUCUCAUACUAUGCAUACACCUUCCUUCCUCUUUCACCACAAAAUUCGUAGCUUUUCUGCUUUGUCUGUGGUGAGCUGAGAGCUACUUGUAGUCUGCAGUACUGUCCUUGGUUUUAUAUGCAUUUUAUGGCUGGUCACUAUUGGGAUUUUACAAGAUUGUUAGGUUUCCAUUUACCAUGAACUUGCAUGUAUUUACCAAAAUCUGUAUUUAUAGAGCUCUUAGGUUAAAGGUGGCAUUACAUAAAUAAUAGAGAGGAUAAUGAAAGCAUAUAAUUAUUAUUAAGCAGACAAAGGGCCCUAUUACGGUCUAGUUUGAACUUGCGUAAUUCCUCCAUUUUCAAACAGCAUGUAAUGCAGGAAUGAAGCAACUAUGUUCCAGCUUCCUUGGUGGUGUAAUUUGGGAGAAAUUGAUUAUCAUCAGUAUGUUAAAGUGAUUUAAAGCCGAAUUUAGCCCACAGUUCCCUGGCUAAUGAUUUUGUUUCCAUCUUUGACUGUUUUCAAUAGCCUUCAUUAAAUAACUCAGCUAUAACAUUAGCUAUCCCUACAUAUUCUUAUCAACUUUAUAAUUAACAUGUAUCCAUGGGUACUGCCUCAUGUUAGUGAGGCAAGGUCAUAUUUGAAGGAGAAUCUUUUGUAUCUGUUGAAGCAGCUGCUAGUGUGGCUGCAUACCUGGCUGAAUCAAUUAAUCAUUUCAUUAAACAAAAGUCCUCUUA